UGUAUUGGUAUUUCAGCCUGUUCACAACAUAAAACCUCUGUUAGUAGGUUUUUAUAUUUUUGCGAGGAAAUUCCAGUUUUUGAAAUUCAAAGAGGUGAAAAAUGAGCGUGAUCGAUAUAUUGACUCGUGUGGACGCGAUCUGCAAGAAGUACGACAAGUACGAUGUCACGCAGAAGGACUCCAACGUUUCCGGCGACGAUGCCUUCGCCCGCCUCUACGCCGCCGUAGAGUCUGAUAUCGAGGCCGCUCUUCAGAAAGCGGAGACAGCUGCAAGUGAGAAGAGUAGGGCGUCGGUCGUGGCGAUCAACGCCGAGAUUCGAAGGACCAAGGCUAGAUUGCUCGAAGAGGUCCCCAAAUUGCAGCGUUUGGCUGUUAAGAAGGUUAAAGGACUUUCAACAGAAGAACUUACUGCCCGCAAUGAUCUGGUCCUUGCCUUGCCCGAUAGAAUUCAAGCCAUACCAGAUGGCUCUGCUGCUGCACCUAAAUCAUCUGGUGGGGGUUGGGGAACUUCAGCUGUUCGUACUGAAAUCAAAUUUGAUUCAGAUGGACGGUUCGACAACGAAUACUUUCAGCAAACUGAAGAGUCAAGCCAGUUUAGGCAAGAAUAUGAAAUGCGGAGAAUGAAACAGGACCAAGGAUUGGAUGUCAUAGCAGAAGGUCUGGAUACAUUAAAAAACAUGGCCCAGGACAUGAAUGAGGAAGUGGAUAGGCAAGUUCCUCUCAUGGAUGAAAUUGACACUAAGGUUAGACAUUGGGACUUAAACUUGUCAAUAAGGUGGACAAGGCAACAGCUGACCUAAAAAAUACCAAUGUCAGACUGAAGGACACAGUUAAUCAGCUGAGAUCUAGCCGAAAUUUCUGCAUUGACAUCAUUCUGCUGUGUAUAAUUCUUGGAAUUGCAGCCUAUUUGUACAAUGUGCUGAGGAAAUAAAGUGGCAGCAAGAUUUGAUGGAUUGAACUGUGUGUGCGCUUCUUCAGUAUUCUCUUGGUCCAUUGACGAUGUCGCUCUUGUAUUUGGUUGGGUUGUAUAAUAGGUUUGCAUUUGUAUGUGACCUGUUUGGGAUAUGUUGAUUGCAGUGACUUAUUGACAUGGAACUUAUACACUUGUUUCUCAUUGACACCCCCCCCCCCCAAACACACAACCUCCCCACAGAAAAGAAUAAAGAAAAGGAGGCGUCCUAUUGUAGAUAGUCGGAAGAGUAUAAAUAACAGAGAAGACAAGAUUGUUACUGAUGGUCAGAGCGAGAGAGGACAAAGAAAUAAAGCUUCGGCAUCCAUAGAGGCUCCAAGUAGAUUCAAGGUGGAAUAGUUCUAUGCCAUUGGAGCUUUGUCGCAGCUGGUGUUUUUGCCCGGUUUCUACAGUUAGUGGACUGUGCCACAGUAAAAGUUGAAAAUAUUUGUACAGUAACCCCUUUAGGUAUGAAACGUAUAAAUAUAUAUUGGAA